AAUAACUAAAGGGCCGCAGUAUUCUGACUGUGCAAAGGUAGCAUAAUCACUAGUCUUUUAAUUGAAGACUUGUAUGAACGGUUGGACGAGAAAUAUACUGUUUUCUUUUGUAAAAUUUGAAUUUAACUUUUAAGUGAAAAGGCUUAAAUAAUUUAGGGGGACGAUAAGACCCUAUAAAUCGUUUUACUGGGGCGGUGUGAAUAAAAUUAGUAACUGUUCAAAUAAUAAACAGUAAUAACUGAAUAGAUCCUUUUUUUAAGAUCAAAAGAUCAAGUUACUUUAGGGAUAACAGCGUUAUUUCUUUUAAGAGUCCAUAUCUAAAAAGAAGUUUGCGACCUCGAUGUUGAAUUAAAAAAUCCUUGUGGUAGUAGCAGCUACAAAAGAAAGUCUGUUCGACUUUUAAAUUUUU
rnacentral:rRNA from 1 species